rnacentral:rRNA from 1 species
ACUCCUACGGGAGGCAGCAGUGGGGAAUAUUGGACAAUGGGCGAAAGCCUGAUCCAGCCAUGCCGCGUGUGUGAAGAAGGCCUUUUGGUUGUAAAGCACUUUAAAGCGAGGAGGAGGCUACUGAGAUUAAUACUCUUGGAUAGUGGACGUUACUCGCAGAAUAAGCACCGGCUAACUCUGUGCCAGCAGCCGCGGUAAUACAGAGGGGUGCGAGCGUUAAUCGGAUUUACUGGGGCGUAAAGCGUGCGUAGGCGGCUUUUUAAGUCGGAUGUGAAAUCCCUGAGCUUAACUUAGGAAUUGCAUUCGAUACUGGGAAGCUAGAGUAUGGGAGAGGAUGGUAGAAUUCCAGGUGUAGCGGUGAAAUGCGUAGAGAUCUGGAGGAAUACCGAUGGCGAAGGCAGCCAUCUGGCCUAAUACUGACGCUGAGGUACGAAAGCAUGGGGAGCAAACAGGAUUAGAUACCCUGGUAGGAUAGCG